CCCUUCCAGGCUUUGCUGCAAGCAACCAAAACGUAUAGAAAGCAAGGAUGUCGUCGUACUUCCAGACCACUCAACCGUUUAGUAGGACUUACAAGAUCGGUAAACCCAAGGGCGGCGGGGACGGGCAGGGAGCUGAGGGAAAACAAGGAUCCGACGGUGCAGGCCGGCCGCGCGUGCGGAUAAUCACACACAACAACGACCACGAACCACGAGUCGUGCAGCACGAACAAGCUCCAGCUUCAUCUCCGGCUCCGGCCCCCGUCUCCUACUGAAUCAACUAGCAAUCAACCAACGCAUCCAUCGUAUAGAUCCGUCCAUCCCGUCAUGCACGCGUAAGUGGCACUAAAUAGUACUCCUACUCCGUAAAUAUUUCCUCAUUCCCUAAAUAUGUUUGACAUCGUUGACUUUUUUAAACAUGUUUGUUCGUUUUAUUCAAAAACUUUUGUGAUAUGUGUAAAACUAUAUGUAUACAUAAAAGUAUAUUUAACAAUAAAUCAAAUGAUAGAAAAAAAAAUUAACAAUUACUUAAAUUUUUUAAAUAAGACGAACGAUCAAACAUUUUUAAAAAAAGUCAACGGCGUCAAACAUUUUAGAAUGAAGGUAGUCCUAAAAUCACCGCAAUGGUACGCACAGUAAGAUGAGCAGAUAAUUGGGACAUACGUACGUUCGUACACCUGCUAGUUGCGCUGCUCCCCCGUAGUUUCGACCGGCUUCCCGUGAGAUCGAAUAGCAUGCGGCCCAGCAUGCAUAUGUGUAAUAUGUCUUUGUAAAUGUAAACUAUAAUAAAGACUACUUUAUAGCCAAUGUAAUAGCCAAUUCAUAUAAUAGUUGUUUACUAUACUAUUAAUAUCUGGUCCCACCUAUCAUACACAUAUUACGUCUUAGAGUCCAUCCUGCAGCUAGCUACAGAUCUAUAGCCCGCUGUUCUUCUUUUUCUUCCUUUACCUCUUUAAAAUAUGUUUACAGCUAGCUUAAAGCCUGCUAUUGUACCUGCUCUUACUAUUCGUGUGUAUGGCAAAUCACGGCGGCCUA